rnacentral:lncRNA from 1 species
UCGAUCUCCGGUAGCUCCAUCUGGGAACCGAGGAUCAUAUGGUUGACGAACUGGACCGUCUUCGCGGGGCAGGCGAUGGUGACGGCUUCAGAAGGACCGUCCUCGUCCUCCACCGCAAGGACAGCCCUUGGGACCUCCGAUUGGCGACGGCGUUUGGGGACUGGCUCGGCUUCAGGAUCGACUAUCUCUGGCCGCUUACCGGUAGUCUUGGAAGCGGCGGCCUCGGUAUCCCGAUGCCUCGGUGCAGAGACUUCAUCGGCAGUACGCCCCAGAACAGGCUCGGCGCCCAGCUGUCGCAGGCGCUCCGCGAGGGUCUGAUCCUCCGGAUCCACCACCGCCUGCCG